rnacentral:rRNA from 1 species
UACGUAGGGGGCUAGCGUUGCUCGGAAUUACUGGGCGUAAAGGGAGCGUAGGCGGAUAGUUUAGUCAGAGGUGAAAGCCCGGAGCUCAACUCCGGAAUUGCCUUUAAGACUGCAUCGCUAGAAUCAUGGAGAGGUUAGUGGAAUUCCGAGUGUAGAGGUGAAAUUCGUAGAUAUUCGGAAGAACACCAGUGGCGAAGGCGACUAACUGGACAUGUAUUGACGCUGAGGUGCGAAAGCGUGGGGAGCAAACAGG